AGUAACGUGGCUGACAAAAGCAAGGGACUGUAAAUCUCUACAUGGAAUUCUCCCGAUACUA
rnacentral:tRNA from 1 species